rnacentral:lncRNA from 10 species
UGGAGUCGGCCUGGGCAGGGCCCUGCAGCCAGCUCCGGUGUGGGCCUUCUGCCCUGUCAGCAAGAGGGGUCCCUUGGAUCUCACCACCCCGGAGGCCUCUCUGCCUCCUCCAGCUUUCCAUGUCACUGGGAGUCACUCACCAGGGAUGACAGAGGCUUCGAUGGUGACCAGGACUGAGGCCUCUAGGGGGCCGGAGGUGCCCACCACAUGGCACACAUACUCGCCUGAGUCGGCCGGGGUCACCUGGUGCAGCCGCAGCAGCGAGCCGUGGGUCUGUGUGCAAAUGGGGUGGGUUGGGAGGGGGCUGGAACAGUCCCAUCCAGCCCCUCCAGCAAGGUGGUCCCGGGGGGCUGCCAUACCUGGUGCCGGGCAGGGAGGCUGCCCCCACGCUUGUGCCACGUGACCUGGGCGUGGGCCUGCCCGGGCACCACGCAGUUCAGAUCCAGGGUCUGCCCUUCCGCCACGUGUGAGGAGGAGGGCUCGAUGCGGAUGGGCCGGGUGCUGCCGGGCACUGGACACAGAGCGGCUGCUCAGAGGCCUGAACUCUUGGGCUGUAACCUGUAGCCCUGGGGCAGAAGGCUCUGGGCUGUGACCAGGCCCUAGUGGGGACGGCCGACAGGUGGCCUUUCUGGGACUAGGGCCACACCCUUCUGCCUCCACAUGGCCAGCCGAAUAUGGCUUCUUCCCUCCCCAGCCUCUAACCACAAGCUGGAGGCCCAUUGACCCACCCAUGACUUCUUGAUGAUGAGCUCCUCUGGCCCAUAGGGAACCAGCAAGCUUUACUACCCAGGCUGCGCCCAAGGAUGCGGAUGACAGUGAGACACCUCCCUUCUACAGGACGUCUUCCGUGUGCUCACAAGUACUUUCCAUAGACACUGUCUCAUUUAAACCACACCAUGACUGGCCAGGCGCGGUGGCUCAUGCCUAUAAUCCCAGCACUUUGGGAGGCUGAGACGGUCGGAUCACGAGGUCAGGAGAUCGAGACCAUCCUGGCUAACACGGUGAAACCCCGUCUCUACUAAAAAAAAUACAAAAAAUUAGCCGGCCUGGUGGCGGGUGUGCCUGUAGUCCUAGCUACUCAGAAGGCUGAGGCAGGAGAAUGGUGUGAACCCGGAAGGCGGAGCUUGCAGUGAGCCGAGAUCACGCGCCACUGCACUCCAGCCUGGGUGACAGAGCGAGACUCUCUCUCAAAAAAAUAAAAUAAAAUAAAAUAAAAUAAAAUAAAAUAAAAUAAAAUAAUAAAAAAACCACACCAUGACCAAGCAGGUGGGCAGUACUGCUCCAUUUCAUAGAUGAAUCUGAGGCCCCAAAAGUUAAAAGCUAGUUCAAGGUUGCUAAGGGGCAGAUCUGGGAUUUGAACCAGGUCAGCCGACUCCCAGCUUAGUAUUCAACCUGGACAUUCUGCUGCUUCCUGACAAAUUCUGAAACAGUCACUCAUAGGGAGCCCAGGAAUCAGCUGGUGAGACCUGGGGGAGCCGCAGACGGGAGCCGUGCACCUGGGCCAGGAGGAGCCAGAGAGAGUCCGUACCUGAAAGGACAACCACUUGGAUCCGGGCCUGGGCAGUGCCUGCAGGGCUGGUGGCCACGCAGAGGUAGAAGCCGGCGUCAGCAGUCGUGAUGGCUGGGAUGAGCAGUGUCGCGAUGUCUGUGCGCUCUGACCGGGCCUGCCGUGGGUGAUGGUGGCGCUAGGCACGCCUGCAGCCCUGCAGUACAGCCUGACGGUGCGGCCUGCGUGGACCUGGGUCCUCUCUGGGCUCACUUGGACUCUGGGCCCACCGCCCCCUGCAGACAGAGUCCUGUGAGAACACGCCCUGGGCUGAGCACACUCCCGGCCCCCACCCUGAGCCCGGCCUCUCACCAUGCACGUGGAGCACAGCCCUGGCCACCUGCUGCCCAGCGCUGCUGUGGGCUCGGCACAAGUACUGGGCCUGAUCCGUGGGCUCGACAGCUGGCAGGCGCAGGAUGCCGCCGUGGAUUUGUGCCUUCGCAGGGAGCUGGCCGCCGGGGCCCCCUGACGAGUAGACGUGGGGUCAGCACCCACCAAGCCUGCUCAGAGUCCUGCCCCUCCCCUCCCACACCCAGGAGAGUCAGGCCUUGAAUGUCAUUCCCAUCACGGCCUCACCUGUCCACUCGAGGGUGGGCGUGGGGCUCCCUGUGGCGCUGCAGCGGAACUCCGCCAGUUGCCCGGGCUGCACUGUGAGCUGUGGCGGAUGGAUGGAGACCACGGGGGCGGACAAGGCUAGCCCUCCACGGCCAUCUGUGCACACAGGAGCCAGAGGGAGCUUGGGAAAUGUCAACAGGACCUUGUGACCUCCCACCUUGAGACCUGUCCAUGACUCCCUGUUGCUUUUAGAAUAAAAUCCAAAAUUCCUACCCUGAUCCACCA